UCUCCCACUUGCAUACCUUUUUUAAGAGAAAACACAAAGAUGAGGGGUGAACAGUACAUGCUUCCGAUGAGGGAGAGUUACAGUGUCAAGGGAAAUUGCGCCUACCCUGACCCAAAGGGUCGCUUCCCCUUGCAUACCUCCAGUAAUACAAACGUGAAGACUGGACAUGGGAUGCCUGGGUUAUCGUCACGCUGGGCAAAACGACAAGGAAGGUGUAAAUAUAUCGGGUUUCUAGCAGCCCCUCUUGUGGAAAUUAUGAGGUAACAAGAAGCAGGGAAGAGCAGCUACAGAUGGAGGAGAUGAGUUGCGAUGAGUCCCUGGUGCCAAUCGAAGAUUUCAUGAGGAACAGAGGGCCUACUUUGAAUCAAUCAUCUAUGCAAUUUUGAGCGUGGUUUGCAUUGGCUCGCUGUACAACUUGUGAAGAAGUGCAAGGAAAUCAAGGUGAAAUUUAUGCAUCUAAAUUUCUGAAUUAUAAACAUUCAAAUUUGGAAGAUUUUUCACCAUUGAUGAACAAUACUUAAAUGAUUGUUUGGUUACUUUCCUUCCGCUGCUCCUGCCGCCUGCCAAGUGGGCUCCGCGCUCCAUAAGUUCUGAGGGGGAGACGAGGUGUGAUGUAGUCGGACUGCAGACAGGUUUCUUGUGGACGUCUGGCCUCCUGGAGCCGCAGAUCCUCGUUUGAGCUGGCUAUCUUGGGCGCCGACUAGAGCUCCAGCCGCCACCUAGCAGCCCGUGAAGCUGUCUGAUUCGAGUCGUCGCCGCUGCUGUCGGGUUUCUCCUCGCCGCUGUCUACACCUCCCCCCGGGUCACCGAUGGCUGCAUGGGGCGAGUUACUGCCAAGCCAAGCUUGAGUUCAUGGAUUCCUGGUCCAGCAUCAAGGACAGGAGCAGGAGGGGUUCAUCAUGCCAGGCAAGGUGGAGAACAGAGCUGUCAUGUGGUGUGCGUGGUGAUUCUUCUUCGACUCUGAAGCCUUCCGUGAUGCGUGUUUGGUGGCCCUGUUUCUUUUUCCACUCCGGCAUAGCUAGUGGUAACAAGAAGCAGGGAAGAGCAGCUGCAGAUGGAGGAGAUGAGUUGCGAUGAGCCCCUGGUGCCGACCGAGGAUUUAAUGAGGAACAGAGGGCCUACUUUGAAUCAAUGUUUCUUGUGGAUGUCUGGCCUCCUAGAGCUGAAGAUCCCCAUUUGAGCUGGCUAUCUUCGGCGCCGGCUGGAACUCCGGCCGCCACCUAGCAUCCCGUGAAGCUGAAGGAUUUGAUUCGUCGCCGCUGUUGUCGGGUUCCUCCUCGCCGCCGUCUACACCUCCCGCUGCUGGUGUGUCGCCAUAGUGAACUUCAUUUUCUUCCAAGUCUAGUAGCAGCGAGGUCAGAAGCCACUGCUAGAGGGAUCAGUAUGCUCUCAUGGGUAAGUCCUGGUUAUCCUGGGUGCUUCAAGUUUGUUUAUUUGAAGUGGUUUGCCUGAUUACUACUCUCAGGGCCAUAUUUCUGCUCUAUGGUUGCUUACUCCCUCCCAUGGCAUGCUAAUGUUUAAAGCCGCCGCCGCCGCCAUUGCUCACAGAAAUUUCGUUUGCUAGUUAAGUCUCUAAUCCCCUGUUUUGAACAACAUUAUUCUUGUUCAGUUUGUAAUCUGUGUCCGAACUUACUUGUGAUCCCCUUGCUGCAAGGGAAACUUGGUUUACUUAUUUUCUAGUAAAGUGAAGGUACUUGUUGGGGGCCUUUCUCUUUUACUUGUGAAGUGCAUCUAUUGAUCUUGUACUUGGGAUUCUGCAUGGGGAACUUGUGUGAACUGGUAGAGGAGCUUUCCAUGCUAAAGCUUGUGUACUCUUGUGUUGUUGUUGUCAACAUGCUAGGCUGCCUAUGAAUUGAGAAGGCCAAGAGGAAGGAGGUGGAAUGUCCAUCGUAAUGCAAACAUUACAUGCAUGUAGCUUGGCUUCCCCCACACCGCAAUGAUAACACUUUGGCCGGGUCGCCGCCUACUUUUCAUU